CUUGGCGACCAUAGCGUUUUGGACCCACCUGACUCCAUCCCGAACUCAGAAGUGAAACGAA
rnacentral:rRNA from 1 species